GUGGGAGUGAAUGGACUCGUCCAAAUGAGGGGGAUACUUCUCACCAUCGACUCAAAAAAUCCGAGCGAGUCUCUCUCUUGCGCUUAGUCGCCGGCGCGGACAUCGAGGCGCGCCUGCGGAGGGGACACCUGCGCGUGAGGAGGGGCAAGGGCAUGGUCCGAGCCUGAGGGACUCACGCUCCAGCCUGUACGCGGUGGCCCCUGGCUGGGGUGAAGCUCCCCCAUCUUUAUUCUUGUCCCGCACUGGG
rnacentral:lncRNA from 1 species